UAGAACGGUGUAUGCUGAUAUGAUCUCUGGACUCUGGUCCAACUCUACCUGAUUUUGGAGACAGGCUAGGCUUUGUACAGGCAGAACAAGGUUGAGACUUCAUCGGCUUAGACUUGCUCAGUCAGGCCAGGAUCCCAGUAGGGGAAUUUCCUACUGCAAGGUGUUUACAUAAAUAAGUAAAGAAGAGUCAAACUGUACAAGGCCUUAGACGCUAGGCAAGAUCAGCAAGGACAGAAGGAAAGUGUAUAUACGAAGGAGCUAAUCCAUAGAGAAAGGAAGGAGUGCAGAUUGCCUUUCAUUCUGUGCAUAUAGCUCCCAGGCGGCGAUAGCAAAGACUUCUAUGAAGAAAGGGUUCUGAAAAGCUUGUGCUGCCUCUUCCAUCAUCAUGAAGAACCCUGUUAUCGGAUUCCAAGAUAUGCCGAUCGCCGACCAGCAUCUGGAGCUGAAGGCACAUUCCAAGAACAGAUGAAAAAUAGUCUUCUUUAUGUUUAGGUUAUAAAGAACACAAUUGUAGUCAUUCUGCUCAAUAUGAUAAUUUUUUUUUCUUUUGAGAAUGUUUCUCGUGUUGAGUCUGUCUUCAAAGAGAAGCGAAAUGAAGACCUUUAUCUUUUUUGAGCAUUUUGAAUUCCAAAUUCUGGUGAUGGGAAGGGGCGGUGUAAUUGAUUUGUAUGGGAGAGCAUAAAAUCUGCUAGACUGAUAACUUCCAUUGCCCUAGCAGUAUGUCUAUGUGUCCUUUUGGGAGCUCUGGUUCUGAAUUUGAGACAA